rnacentral:rRNA from 1 species
UACGGGGGGAGCAAGCGUUGUUCGGAUUUACUGGGCGUAAAGGGCGCGUAGGCGGUCAGCACAAGUCAGUUGUGAAAUCUCCGGGCUUAACUCGGAAAGGUCAACUGAUACUGUGCGACUAGAGUGCGGAAGGGGCAACUGGAAUUCUCGGUGUAGCGGUGAAAUGCGUAGAUAUCGAGAGGAACACCCGUGGCGAAGGCGGCUCUCUGGAACGCAACUGACGCUGAGACGCGAAAGCGUGGGGAGCAAACAGG